rnacentral:rRNA from 1 species
GAUGAACGCUGGCGGCGUGCUUAACACAUGCCAGUCGAACGGAAAGGCCCAAGCUUGCUUGGGUACUCGAGUGGCGAACGGGUGAGUAACACGUGGGUGAUCUGCCCUGCACUUCGGGAUAAGCCUGGGAAACUGGGUCUAAUACCGGAUAGGACGAUGGUUUGGAUGCCAUUGUGGAAAGUUUUUUCGGUGUGGGAUGAGCUCGCGGCCUAUCAGCUUGUUGGUGGGGUAAUGGCCUACCAAGGCGUCGACGGGUAGCCGGCCUGAGAGGGUGUACGGCCACAUUGGGACUGAGAUACGGCCCAGACUCCUACGGGAGGCAGCAGUGGGGAAUAUUGCACAAUGGGCACAAGCCUGAUGCAGCGACGCCGCGUGGGGGAUGACGGCCUUCGGGUUGUAAACUCCUUUCGCUAGGGACGAAGCGUUUUUGUGACGGUACCUGGAGAAGAAGCACCGGCUAACUACGUG